AGAAGAAAAAAUACAAAAAUUAAAAUAAAACAAGUCUUGUAUGUAUACCCCGCCUUUUCAUUCCGAUAGCAACGCCCACCCCCCUUUUUCUCUUUUCUUGUUUCGAAUGGAGAGAAAAAGGAUAGCCAAGGCCAUUGUUUGGCAUCACGUUCAGGUCAUAGCUCUCUUUUUUUUUUUCCCCGAUUUGCUCAAGCGUUUGAUAUAGGCUGCAAGACUACACGACAUCUCUGCAUUUGUUUUUGUUUUUUGGUUUGUUCUCAGGUGGCGACAUCACCACACGGCGUGAAAAUGAGUAUCACCUUUUCGUGUUUCGUCUUCAUCGCCGCAUGACUCGAUUUGCGCUCUGUUUCCCUUGUUACAAGUUCCCUUUUUUGUUGAAAUCCUCAAAUGCAAAUGAGCUAAAUUUGUCCCGAGGCUACAUCCGUUUGUGUGUGCGUUUGUACUGUAAUAUUUCCUGAUUUCAUCCGAAAGUUUGAAUAGCCCUGGAUGGAUCUAGUCGACCGGUCAGAUGCUGUGCGAAAUCACGACCGUAUAUACAAGAGAAGUUGGGGGGGGAAACGAAAGGCAACGACUUCACGUCUUACCAUGAUUGCGCAACGCAAACUUUCAUUUCGUGAAGCGGCGGAAUUGCGGCGAUUAGACGAAGAGAAAGAAAAGAAAAAAACAAAUCUAAAUAAUCCAGAGGAAAGGCUUGGAUGUAAUUAUAGCAUAUUUUUCUUUUUCUAAAUCGAACCGAAAACAAAAGAAAGUUAUUCAAGAUUUGUUCUUUUCUCCCCCCUUUAUUCUUUUGUUUUGGUUUUUUUUUUUUUCUUUAAGAGAAGAGAGGGGGAGGUUUGUUCACCUGGAAAUUCCUGAAAUUCUGGGCCACCUAAAAAAAUAAAAAAAACAGAACCUGAUGUUGACAUCCAGAGUUCAUCCGCAAUUUCUUCUAUUUUUUUGUUGAAUUUUUUUUACGGUUUGACAAGUUUCGCACUCGAGUCAUUGAUUGCUGUUAACACAGUGCCCUGAUUAUGCGAGCGAUGUGUAGACACCGGGUCGCAUUUUACUAUACCUGUAAUUGAUUGACGAAACGCUUCUAUUACAGCCCUCGCCGCUGAUUAGCACGGCACACGAAUCAUUCGGGAAAGAAAGGGUUAUACGGUUGGCAGCACCGAAAGAUUGUCUAUUCAUUGAACGAACUGUUGAGAAUUGUUGUGACGUAGACUGACCUGUAGCGAAGAAUGAAAAAGGAUCUAGACGAACAGAAAUGGAUCUGAGAGAUUUCAUUCUUUUUGCGCGUGACUGAUGCCAUUUGCGACUGUGUUAGGAUUCAUUAACCUCGUCAACCCCCUCCUUCAAUGUUUUUAGUUGGUACUACAUUUACAGCAGUUUCUCUUCUGACUUCACUCUUGGAGGAUUUUUAUUUUUUAAUUUGAUGGUUUUGAAAUUAUCGUGAAAGGCAACGCUCGUAAAAGAAGAAAAACUAAUUGAAAAAUAGGCACUCAACUUUCAAUUGAUGAUCUGCGUGAUUCUCUUUUUUUGUCGUUGAAUAAAUUAUACGACCCGUUUAUUUAGAUUUGCGAAGCGUGAGACACGGAAGAAUAAAAAAGAACAUACCGCCAGUA